UUUUAUAGAUGGAAAUAUUUCCUUGCGAGUUUUGAUAAAGUGUAACGAUGCAGCGUGUUAUGUUUGGGUGCUUUAUGCGGUCAACUUUAGGGAUGAUCCUUUGCAACUAAUAUUUCCUCGAAUCUAUCAUUGAUUCAAUGACUUCUGUCUGGGUAAAUUGAACACAUGCAAGAAUAUGAGGAAAGGUGCAGCUAAGUGGACUAGAAGGAGAUCUUAUCCAUUGAGGAAGUAUUGUGUCUAUGAAAUCCUAUGCUGAAAGGUGCUUAGCUUCUUCAUGGGUUUCAGUACAUGGUAUUUCCUACAGGUCGUAUGAUGCCAGUUGUAAAGGAGGAACGUUGAGGGCUACAUUGAUACUUCUAUUACCAAUAUUAAGCCGUUCCAUGGACAUGAAGACUGUUGAAUAAUUUAUCUGGGAUCACUUGAAAACCAAAACACGUCCAAUUUUUGAUCGUUUGGUGAAACAGUAAAUGCAUCAGUAUUACAUUUAUUCGUUUAUGGAUGAGAUAGAUAUUAGAGGAGCUUAAAAGUAGGUGAGAAAAUUCAUAGAGCAACACUGAAAAGCUUUUCUGGAAAGGCUAUGGACCCUGUUUCACUUAUGAAUGUAUUGUACCGGAAUAUUACAUAUUUUAUAUUAUAGGUGAGCUUGGCUGCCAAGUUUGAACUUUGAAUGAAUAUCUUCAUUUCAACAAUGGGUUGGAUGAAUAUGAUUGCAUGGCAAA